GGGAAAACUACACACUGCCUUCUUAGGUCAGUUGUUGCUGCUAAAUGAAAGGCCCUUUUGUUCUGGAGCAUCUUACAGGAUUUGGCUAUGCUAUAUUUUACAGGUUAAGACAAGAGAGCAGAAUGAUCCUCAUUGACGGAAAACAGAAGCAAAGAGAGAAAUGAAAAGAAUGGUAAAGCCUGGGCCAUUAUCAGAGUAUUAGAAACAGGGAUGGUCAAACUA